UACGAGGGGGGCAAGUGUUGUUCGGAAUCACUGGGCGUAAAGGGAGCGUAGGCGGGCUCUUAAGUUGGAUGUUUAAAACCGGGGCCCAACCCCGGCGUGGCAUCCAAAACUGGGAGUCUUGAAUGGGACAGAGGCUAGUGGAAUUGGAGGUGUAGCGGUGGAAUGCGUAGAGAUCUCCAAGAACACCCGUUGCGAAGGCGGCUAGCUGGGUCCACAUUGACGCUGAGGCUCGAAAGCAUGGGGAGCAAACAGG
rnacentral:rRNA from 1 species